UAAAAUAAUAACAAUAACAAUGUCACUACCGACUCAAUAUACAUCAACUACAACGCUAUUACUGGACUCUACAACCAUAAUAAAUUAAAGCUACCAAAUAAUACAUGUUUAUUUAUAUUUUAUUUUACAACAUAGCAAAAGAAAAGUAAAUCUAACAUCCUCCAAUAGUCUUGGGACUAUUUCCACGGUCACAGUGCACGCUCACCUAAAAUGGUUCCCAUGUAUAAAACUUGUAGAAAAAUUUGUGCACGCUCACCUAAAAUGGUUCCCAUGUAUAAAACUUGUAGAAAAAUUUUACAAGUAUAAGUUUGCAAUAAAGUUCACACACAUACACAUCUAGUCUCACAUGUGUGUUAGAAAAAUAGGAAGGAGAGAAAAAGAGGGGGAGAGAGAAUAUCACACACAGCAUACAACUUCACAUAUAAUCUCGCAAUUCUACAAAAGAACAUAUACAUCAACCCUCAAAUUCUAACGAUACAAUAGACAACCAACACACUACUCUAACCAUACCAUAAUCCACACACAUUCGGUCUCACAAUACAAAAAGAGAGAAAGGAGGAGAAUCAACUUCUAGUCAAUGACAUCCUCCUCUACUCCUUACGUAGACAUGUACCACCCGACCAAUUAUCCAUUUUCGCGAAUCAACAUCCUCUUCUACCUGUUAUGUAGGCAUAUUACCCCGAUUACAGUUCCUGAUCCUAGAUUGACAACCUCACACACUCCUUCCUAAGGUAUGUCCAACCUAAGCCACACACAAAUCGCCCAUAGCCACAUACACUAAAUCUAGCCACAAAUACCAACUAUAGGAUGCACGCUCAUCACUUACGUGAACACGUCAACAAGUAACACUCGCAAGGUACUCGAAUAACUAAAUUACAAUAAAAUCCUAAACUUUCAUAUACUCUCUAUAUAAAUCAAAGCAAAUAAUACUUAUCCAAACCAAAAUUUCCCAAUCACAAUCGCUUCCCCAUUUAAACAUAAACUACAGCGUUUAAACAUGCUAUCAUUUUAAUUUGUAUUCAACAUCUUUAACUACGAAAGCAUGUAAAAUCAAUGAAUUCAUAAUUAAGGUCCUUGACCCAGUGCGAAGGCACGUGCGACAACCUCGCAAUGAGCUUUUCUGUCCGUGAAAUAAAUUUGGGGAA
rnacentral:lncRNA from 1 species